CGUUCUGUAAGCCUGCGAAGGUGUGCUGUGAGGCAUGCUGGAGGUAUCAGAAGUGCGAAUGCUGACAUAAGUAACGAUAAAGCGGGUGAAAAGCCCGCUCGCCGGAAGACCAAGGGUUCCUGUCCAACGUUAAUCGGGGCAGGGUGAGUCGACCCCUAAGGCGAGGCCGAAAGGCGUAGUCGAUGGGAAACAGGUUAAUAUUCCUGUACUUGGUGUUACUGCGAAGGGGGGACGGAGAAGGCUAUGUUGGCCGGGCGACGGUUGUCCCGGUUUAAGCGUGUAGGCUGGUUUUCCAGGCAAAUCCGGAAAAUCAAGGCUGAGGCGUGAUGACGAGGCACUACGGUGCUGAAGCAACAAAUGCCCUGCUUCCAGGAAAAGCCUCUAAGCAUCAGGUAACAUCAAAUCGUACCCCAAACCGACACAGGUGGUCAGGUAGAGAAUACCAAGGCGCUUGAGAGAACUCGGGUGAAGGAACUAGGCAAAAUGGUGCCGUAACUUCGGGAGAAGGCACGCUGAUAUGUAGGUGAAGUCCCUCGCGGAUGGAGCUGAAAUCAGUCGAAGAUACCAGCUGGCUGCAACUGUUUAUUAAAAACACAGCACUGUGCAAACACGAAAGUGGACGUAUACGGUGUGACGCCUGCCCGGUGCCGGAAGGUUAAUUGAUGGGGUUAGCGCAAGCGAAGCUCUUGAUCGAAGCCCCGGUAAACGGCGGCCGUAACUAUAACGGUCCUAAGGUAGCGAAAUUCCUUGUCGGGUAAGUUCCGACCUGCACGAAUGGCGUAAUGAUGGCCAGGCUGUCUCCACCCGAGACUCAGUGAAAUUGAACUCGCUGUGAAGAUGCAGUGUACCCGCGGCAAGACGGAAAGACCCCGUGAACCUUUACUAUAGCUUGACACUGAACAUUGAGCCUUGAUGUGUAGGAUAGGUGGGAGGCUUUGAAGUGUGGACGCCAGUCUGCAUGGAGCCGACCUUGAAAUACCACCCUUUAAUGUUUGAUGUUCUAACGUGGACCCGUAAUCCGGGUUGCGGACAGUGUCUGGUGGGUAGUUUGACUGGGGCGGUCUCCUCCUAAAGAGUAACGGAGGAGCACGAAGGUUGGCUAAUCCUGGUCGGACAUCAGGAGGUUAGUGCAAUGGCAUAAGCCAGCUUGACUGCGAGCGUGACGGCGCGAGCAGGUGCGAAAGCAGGUCAUAGUGAUCCGGUGGUUCUGAAUGGAAGGGCCAUCGCUCAACGGAUAAAAGGUACUCCGGGGAUAACAGGCUGAUACCGCCCAAGAGUUCAUAUCGACGGCGGUGUUUGGCACCUCGAUGUCGGCUCAUCACAUCCUGGGGCUGAAGUAGGUCCCAAGGGUAUGGCUGUUCGCCAUUUAAAGUGGUACGCGAGCUGGGUUUAGAACGUCGUGAGACAGUUCGGUCCCUA
rnacentral:rRNA from 1 species